ensembl:piRNA 21ur-2997 ncRNA
AUUUCCGAUAUUUAGUUUCAG